AGCGUACACGGUGGAUGCCCUGGCAGUCAGAGGCGAUGAAGGACGUGCUAAUCUGCGAUAAGCGUCGGUGAGGUGAUAUGAACCGUUAUAACCGGCGAUUUCCGAAUGGGGAAACCCAGUGUGUUUCGACACACUAUCAUUAACUGAAUCCAUAGGUUAAUGAGGCGAACCGGGGGAACUGAAACAUCUAAGUACCCCGAGGAAAAGAAAUCAACCGAGAUUCCCCCAGUAGCGGCGAGCGAACGGGGAGGAGCCCAGAGCCUGAAUCAGUGUGUGUGUUAGUGGAAGCGUCUGGAAAGGCGCGCGAUACAGGGUGACAGCCCCGUACACAAAAAUGCACAUACUGUGAGCUCGAUGAGUAGGGCGGGACACGUGAUAUCCUGUCUGAAUAUGGGGGGACCAUCCUCCAAGGCUAAAUACUCCUGACUGACCGAUAGUGAACCAGUACCGUGAGGGAAAGGCGAAAAGAACCCCGGCGAGGGGAGUGAAAAAGAACCUGAAACCGUGUACGUACAAGCAGUGGGAGCCUCUUAAUGGGGUGACUGCGUACCUUUUGUAUAAUGGGUCAGCGACUUAUAUUCUGUAGCAAGGUUAACCGAAUAGGGGAGCCGAAGGGAAACCGAGUCUUAACUGGGCGUUAAGUUGCAGGGUAUAGACCCGAAACCCGGUGAUCUAGCCAUGGGCAGGUUGAAGGUUGGGUAACACUAACUGGAGGACCGAACCGACUAAUGUUGAAAAAUUAGCGGAUGACUUGUGGCUGGGGGUGAAAGGCCAAUCAAACCGGGAGAUAGCUGGUUCUCCCCGAAAGCUAUUUAGGUAGCGCCUCGUGAAUUCAUCUCCGGGGGUAGAGCACUGUUUCGGCAAGGGGGUCAUCCCGACUUACCAACCCGAUGCAAACUGCGAAUACCGGAGAAUGUUAUCACGGGAGACACACGGCGGGUGCUAACGUCCGUCGUGAAGAGGGAAACAACCCAGACCGCCAGCUAAGGUCCCAAAGUCAUGGUUAAGUGGGAAACGAUGUGGGAAGGCCCAGACAGCCAGGAUGUUGGCUUAGAAGCAGCCAUCAUUUAAAGAAAGCGUAAUAGCUCACUGGUCGAGUCGGCCUGCGCGGAAGAUGUAACGGGGCUAAACCAUGCACCGAAGCUGCGGCAGCGACGCUUAUGCGUUGUUGGGUAGGGGAGCGUUCUGUAAGCCUGCGAAGGUGUGCUGUGAGGCAUGCUGGAGGUAUCAGAAGUGCGAAUGCUGACAUAAGUAACGAUAAAGCGGGUGAAAAGCCCGCUCGCCGGAAGACCAAGGGUUCCUGUCCAACGUUAAUCGGGGCAGGGUGAGUCGACCCCUAAGGCGAGGCCGAAAGGCGUAGUCGAUGGGAAACAGGUUAAUAUUCCUGUACUUGGUGUUACUGCGAAGGGGGGACGGAGAAGGCUAUGUUGGCCGGGCGACGGUUGUCCCGGUUUAAGCGUGUAGGCUGGUUUUCCAGGCAAAUCCGGAAAACCAAGGCUGAGGCGUGAUGACGAGGCACUACGGUGCUGAAGCGACAAAUGCCCUGCUUCCAGGAAAAGCCUCUAAGCAUCAGGUAACAUCAAAUCGUACCCCAAACCGACACAGGUGGUCAGGUAGAGAAUACCAAGGCGCUUGAGAGAACUCGGGUGAAGGAACUAGGCAAAAUGGUGCCGUAACUUCGGGAGAAGGCACGCUGAUAUGUAGGUGAAGCGACUUGCUCGUGGAGCUGAAAUCAGUCGAAGAUACCAGCUGGCUGCAACUGUUUAUUAAAAACACAGCACUGUGCAAACACGAAAGUGGACGUAUACGGUGUGACGCCUGCCCGGUGCCGGAAGGUUAAUUGAUGGGGUUAGCGGCAACGCGAAGCUCUUGAUCGAAGCCCCGGUAAACGGCGGCCGUAACUAUAACGGUCCUAAGGUAGCGAAAUUCCUUGUCGGGUAAGUUCCGACCUGCACGAAUGGCGUAAUGAUGGCCAGGCUGUCUCCACCCGAGACUCAGUGAAAUUGAACUCGCUGUGAAGAUGCAGUGUACCCGCGGCAAGACGGAAAGACCCCGUGAACCUUUACUAUAGCUUGACACUGAACAUUGAGCCUUGAUGUGUAGGAUAGGUGGGAGGCUUUGAAGUGUGGACGCCAGUCUGCAUGGAGCCGACCUUGAAAUACCACCCUUUAAUGUUUGAUGUUCUAACGUUGGCCCCUAAUCGGGGUUGCGGACAGUGUCUGGUGGGUAGUUUGACUGGGGCGGUCUCCUCCUAAAGAGUAACGGAGGAGCACGAAGGUUGGCUAAUCCUGGUCGGACAUCAGGAGGUUAGUGCAAUGGCAUAAGCCAGCUUGACUGCGAGCGUGACGGCGCGAGCAGGUGCGAAAGCAGGUCAUAGUGAUCCGGUGGUUCUGAAUGGAAGGGCCAUCGCUCAACGGAUAAAAGGUACUCCGGGGAUAACAGGCUGAUACCGCCCAAGAGUUCAUAUCGACGGCGGUGUUUGGCACCUCGAUGUCGGCUCAUCACAUCCUGGGGCUGAAGUAGGUCCCAAGGGUAUGGCUGUUCGCCAUUUAAAGUGGUACGCGAGCUGGGUUUAGAACGUCGUGAGACAGUUCGGUCCCUAUCUGCCGUGGGCGCUGGAGAACUGAGGGGGGCUGCUCCUAGUACGAGAGGACCGGAGUGGACGCAUCACUGGUGUUCGGGUUGUCAUGCCAAUGGCACUGCCCGGUAGCUAAAUGCGGAAGAGAUAAGUGCUGAAAGCAUCUAAGCACGAAACUUGCCCCGAGAUGAGUUCU
rnacentral:rRNA from 1 species